CCUACGGGGGGCUGCAGUGGGGAAUAUUGGACAAAGGGGGGAACCCUGAUCCAGCCAUGCCGCGUGUGUGAAGAAGGCCCUCGGGUUGUAAAGCACUUUCAGUGAGGAAGAACGCCUGGUGGUUAAUACCCAUCAGGAAAGACAUCACUCACAGAAGAAGCACCGGCUAACUCCGUGCCAGCAGCCGCGGUAAUACGGAGGGUGCGAGCGUUAAUCGGAAUUACUGGGCGUAAAGCGCGCGUAGGUGGCUUGAUAAGCCGGUUGUGAAAGCCCCGGGCUCAACCUGGGAACGGCAUCCGGAACUGUCAAGCUAGAGUGCAGGAGAGGAAGGUAGAAUUCCCGGUGUAGCGGUGAAAUGCGUAGAGAUCGGGAGGAAUACCAGUGGCGAAGGCGGCCUUCUGGACUGACACUGACACUGAGGUGCGAAAGCGUGGGUAGCAAACAGGAUUAGAUACCCGUGUAGUC
rnacentral:rRNA from 1 species